GAAUACGCCGCGGUUGCUAGCAGAACCACGACAUAAAUAUAGGACAAUAGACCGCGGUUUGGGGGGAAACCACGGCAUGAAGGUUUUUUAAAAUUUGCGAAAUUGCCAUUUCAUAUUAAUUUUACUUUUUUUUAAUGGGAAUAUGUCGUGGUUCGUUGGACAACGGGUUAAAUUAUAACCGCGGUAGUAUGGUUUAAAUAGGUUAAAAAAAAAUCUUUAUACAGUUUUCUUCUUCACGCGAUCAAUUAUCAGAAAACUUGAACAACUUUCGUCUCCGUCUCCGCCGCGAGCUGCGACCUUUCUUCCGUUAUUGACGCCAGCAUUCCUCCGACCGCCAUUCUUCUCCACCGCCCCUGCUUCUCCGCCGCACCUUUGCUUCUUUGUGCGUCGUUCUUCUCCUGCGAGCUAACCAACCUGGUUUGAUUUCUCCUGCGCCCUUCUUAUGCG
rnacentral:lncRNA from 1 species